GACGUAGGGCGCGAGCGUUGUCCGGAUUUAUUGGGCGUAAAGAGCUCGUAGGCGGCUUGUCGCGUCGACUGUGAAAACCCGUGGCUCAACCAUGUGGUCUGCAGUCGAUACGGGCAGGCUAGAAUUCGGUAGGGGAGACUGGAAUUCCUGGUGUAGCGGUGAAAUGCGCAGAUAUCAGGAGGAACACCGGUGGCGAAAGCGGGUCUCUGGGCCGAUAUUGACGCUGAGGAGCGAAAGCGUGGGGAGCGAACAGG
rnacentral:rRNA from 1 species